CUUGUGAAUUGUUCAUCAGAAUAAUUAAAGCAUAAGCAUGUAAGAACAAGUAAAUAACUUACAGUAAUCAAAUGGAAUAAACAGGCUUUCCCUCCAGUAUGCUCUUAUAGAUGCUUUGUAUGUACUUAAUCAAUCUUCUGAAUCAAGUAAAGGUUUAAAAUGUUUUUGAAAUUAUUUGGGUCCACAACUGCUUCCGCAAAAGGCUUUUCAAUUAAGGUUGCAUUUCUCACUCUAGAGAACUAGUCGUGUUUCCAUAGACGCUAUCUCACAGUAUCCAGAGUCUCUAUUUUCACCUCUAUCCACUCUUUUCAGAAUCAAGUUCUUACUUGGAACGAAAUUUUAAAAGAUAACUCACACACAAGGUGCUACAAUUUUGUUAGAAGACUGUCUUUUUCCCCUAAACCAUUCUACAAAGACGGGUACUUUGGCAUGGCUAACAUCCAUUCAAAAUUAAUGUUUUGAAAAUCUUUUAAAAUCUCUAUCUGUACUGCCAAGGAAUCAUGAGAAACUUAACGAAAUCUUUUUUAUGAAAGCUUUGUUGAACAUAACAAGCUUUACUUUGAUAUUCAUAAACUGAAAUUGUACAUGCUUACAAACUAUAUUUACAUACCUUUGGUACUCACCUUAUGAAGUUUAAAACUCCAUAAGUGAUUACCUUAUUACACGCUUUACUAUCUUCAAGCUAUCUAAUAUUUUUCUGAUAACAAGUGGUGUAAACAGAUUACAAAAGAUAUAUCUAAGAUGUGUUUCCUUCAAGUGUUUCAG
rnacentral:lncRNA from 1 species